rnacentral:lncRNA from 1 species
CUGGAAUUGCUGUUAUAGAGGACAUUGCAGAAAACUGUUGGAAUUUCUUAUAUUUCUUUAUUUAUGGUACUUGAAAACCUUCUUUUGACUACUGUUCCUUUUCUGUUUUCCCACCCUUCUGUCAGGAAGUUUCUAUCAAGGCAUCUUGCACAAAUAAAAUAUGUACUUCCUGAAGCAGUUCAGAUUGAUAAGAUACUUGUGCAUGAUGAGAAAACCAAGUGCAUGAAGCCAGAAUUAAAGAUUGCAUUGCUAUUUGAUGUUAUUGAAGGCCUUCAUGGAGAAUCUGUGUUCAUGGACCUCAGCAAUCUUUUCUCUUCCCGUCUAAAAAGGUUUUACAUUACACAUCCAGAGGUAAUGGUCCUUUACAUGUUUAUGUUGUAAUUAUAAAGAACAAAGUAAUUCAGGACUGUUCAACAAGAAAAUAAAAAUGAUUUCUCAGUACACUUAUUUCUGCUAUUGGGGAAAUCUCACCUGGAAUCAUAACCAAACUUAUACUUUUCAAACGUGGAGCUAGAACUAAGUUUGUUAAUUUGAGUUGGUUCAUUUUUAUCAUCACCAUAAAAUUGUUUUAUAUUGCUGAGUUUCAAUAGAUUACAAUUAAAACCAAACUCCAUCCGUUAGUAAUUUCUUGCACAGUUGCGCUAAUGUUGCACUAUUGAGAAUGAGAUUCAAAUAAUCUCAUUCUGAGGAUUUCAACAUUGGGUCCUCUCGGAGCUUGUCAUCCCCUGCAGAGUACUGGUCCAGCAUGCAGUUCUAUUCAGAGAUCAUGACGAGGGAGAAGUUUUUGGAUUUUUUUGAAUAUAUUUACCUACUGAAUACUUUUGUCUCCUGGAUGCAGGAUUUGGACAUUCCCGAAGCUGACCUUCCAGCACCAUUUAACCAGAGAAGUAUCAACAUGAAGGUGGAGCCGACGUCCAAGGACGUGUCAGCUUUACUGCAGAUGGAUGUAUUAAAUUCAUCCCAUCUCUCUCCAUCUUUCUGUAGACGCUUUUCUCAGAAGGCUUUUGCUGCAGAGAAAGAAAAGACUCACCUACUUUCACCCAUUAAAUCUUCUUGUGUGGCUAAUCAAGAAACUGGAGGAACAAGAACGUUUCCCAACACUUCUUCCGAAUCCACAGCCACUAUCCUAGUGACUCAGACUUCACAUUGUGUUAGCUCUGCCACAUCUGGUAAUACUCCUACAAAGCUGGCUUCUGCAGAAAGUGACAAUCUAGUUGUUGAAACACCUGCACAAUCUACUCCAAUGAGAUUAAUUUCACCAAAUAGAUCAGUGCUUACCUGUGAAGAUGAGUGCAAGAAUGGAACAAGCCAAAACUCCACACCUGGCAAUCUGACUGCAAAGAGGUCAUUAGAUUUUUAUACUUUGGAUGGUGAUAAUACUUCUCAGGACUUCACUACUGAUGAGAAUAAGAUGGAGUAUUCUAAAGGUGUUUGCAGUACUCUUCCUCGAAUGAAAAUGAAAGGGAUUUCUGUAAAGGUUGAUACUGUUCUUUCCAAGGUAAAAAUUAGCAGUUACUUGUGUUUAGUUUUUAACAUUGCAGUAGCCGGUUAAAUAAUUUGCAAUUUAGAGUCUCCGUGGACCUUUAUUAGGGCUUAUUUGUUUCUUGCUGUCUGAAGAUGAUAUGCUCAUUUGUUCUGUCUUGGACAUGUUCUUAUAAUUUAAGAUGCUAACGAUCUUGCAAAAUUUAUAGAAUAGAUUUAACCUCCGUUUGGAUACAAUUUAUUAUUGGUUUAUAAAUUCAGCCAAAGUCAAACAUACACUUCAACCACACAUUAUUAUCCUCACAUUUUGUGGGACCUCCUCUUUGUAAAUCGAUUUAUAAAUUUUCUAAAUGGAGGCUUAAAUCAGAUAAUCAUGAUUACUAAUAUUGCUAUAUGUAUCAGCAUUCACAGUGGUUUAUUGCUAAAUAAGAUUCACACUUGAAUAUGAAAGUGAAUUUCUUAAAGUGAAUUUCUUAAUAUUCAUUGGGUACUUCUGCUAGAAAAUUGUUACUUAGGUUAGGAACACCAAGGACUGUGAAGAAAGCCGUCAAACAAUUCUAAAGAGAGCAUAAAGAUUCCCCAUAAGACCAAGGGAUGCACACUUUUUUCCCCUUCGUGUUGGAUCACAUAUUUACAUUUCGGGCUGGCAUGCCCAUAACUGUUAUUAUCAGCAGGCACAGUGGUUUAUUGCUAAAUAACCUCCAUGCUUGAAUAUGAAAGUGAAUUUCUUAUUUUUUCAUUGGGUACUUUUGCUAGAAAAACUACUCAGGUUAGGAAUACCAAGGAUUGUAAAAGGCACCAUCAAACAAUUCUAAAGUGAGCAUAAAGGUUCCCCAAAAGGCCACAGGAUGCAAUUCAUUUUUUUUUCCUUUCACUGUUUGUUCAAAUAUUUACUUUUCAGGUUGGCACGCAAGUUUAUUAUCAAUUUUAGGAUGAGUAAAGUUGUUUAAAACUUCAUUGUGUUACACCAAUUAUUAAAUCAUUUUAUUGUUCACAACUGACCAUAAAAUUCAAUGGGAUAGGUCGAGGAGAGCAGUUGCUACAUUGAUGACCAUGAGCUGAAUCAGAAGAAACUUAGUUCACACCAGCAGAGAUCUAUUUGUUUGUCUGAUCUUGUUCUCUUAAUUCACUAUGUCUUUCAAUCUGUUAGCUUUCGUUCAAUCACAAAGGAAGAACUAGUUCACAAGAUUAUUCUGAACAACUGUGAUAUUGAUGACAGCAGUAAGCUCAAAUGCUGUACUUUAUUUUCUUCCCCUUUUCCUAUUUCUAUGUAAAAGUUUCAAAAGCAUUCCUGUGUAUAUCUAGGUGAGGUCCUGAUGCAAAUAGAGCAACUGGAGAAACUGGUUCCAGACUGGUUUUAUAAGCAGCUUGCUCCUUGUGGAGACCAACUAUACAAGUUAGUAUUUCUUCCUUUUUUGCAGUCAUAUGUUGGCUAUAAGGGUGGUGCCAGUGGGCUCCCAUCAAGCUUGUCGUGUUGCUGUAAUCUUUAAUUGCAUCUAUGAGAUAAUAACUGGGAUGGGAAAGGGCUUGACCAGUGUGAAAAUUCUGCUGUUUACUUAGCUAUAUAUGUCGUAAACAUUCACAUCAGUAACUGUGCUGUUGUACAUUUAACCUUGAGAAAGGUGCCAUCCCCAAGACAGAUUGUAAGGUGCAAUACUACUAGAAUUUAAUCACUUCUGUUCUUAAAUCAGAGGAAUUGGUUUCUCUUAUCACAGUUCAGCAUGUCUUUAAAUUUUUACUAAAAUAAAAGAUGUUCUACGGUGGUAUAAAUCUCUACAUUUUCUGGUGAAUUUCAGUGUGAAAAAAGUGUCAGACUUGAACUCAGUUCGUGAAAGAGUUAACAUUGUAUGAUCCAAUUGAACUGAGGUGAGUAUUUUAGCUUGCUACAUGUUUCUCUGCUUGUUUGAUAUAGACGUGCAAUCCUAAUGUUAGUAGGAAACAUUCUAAGACACAGGAAAAUACUGAGAAUGGCGUUGCACAAAAUUGGUGUAAUGAUAUAUUAUAUUCAAUUUGUAGGGGCAUAUUUGCUUUAGAUUGGACUAUUUCAAAAUUAGAACAGCUUCUGAAAGUCGAAGAGUUGAAAUGGUGUUCCUGAUUUACGAGUAAUUUGGCAGUUUCCCCUUCAGAUUGUAGACGAUGCCUGCAAUGGACUCUACCUCUACUGGAUAGUUGGUGGAUGUUCAAGGUUUUUUACCUCUACUAGUAGGUUUAUAUGUAUUUUAUGCAUGUAUGUUAAAGGAGCAAAUGCGUAUAACAAUAUUGUGGGUGCAUAAUUUCUCUCCUUUUUCCUUUAAUCUUAUCAUAAUUCUACAUUAUCCCUUUUACAAUGCUG